rnacentral:rRNA from 1 species
AAACUUUCAACAACGGAUCUCUUGGUUCUGGCAUCGAUGAAGAACGCAGCGAAAUGCGAUAAGUAAUGUGAAUUGCACAAUUCAGUGAAUCAUCGAAUCUUUGAACGCACAUUGCGCCCUUUGGUAUUCCGAAGGGCAUGCCUGUUCGAGCGUCAUUAC